rnacentral:rRNA from 1 species
UGAGGAAUAUUGGGCAAUGCCCGCAAGGGUGACCCAGCAACGCCGCGUGGAGGAUGAAUGUCGUAAGAUUGUAAACUCCUGUUAGAGGGGAAGAAUAGUACCGGUUGGACCGGUAUAUUACUGUACCCUCAGAGAAAGCCCCGGCUAACUACGUGCCAGCAGCCGCGGUAAUACGUAGGGGGCAAGCGUUGUCCGGAUUUACUGGGUGUAAAGGGCGCGCAGGCGGGAUAAAAAGUCAGUGGUGAAAUCCUACAGCUUAACUGUAGAACUGCAUUUGAUACUUUUAUUCUUGAGUUCGGGAGAGAGAGACGGAAUUCCAGGUGUAGUGGUGAAAUACGUAGAUAUCUGGAAGAACACCAGUUGCGAAGGCGGUCUCUUGGUCCGACACUGACGCUGAGGCGCGAAAGCGUGGGGAGCAAACA